UUGUUUGUUAUUUGUUAAUUUUCAAUACGUUUUGUGUUUCUAAUAAAACUGUAAAUAUUACAGAAUGGCUGAUGUUUUAGACUUGAACGCUGAAGAGUUUGUGGAAGAAGAUGAUGGUAAUAAAACAUGUGUUUACUAUUGUACGAUUCUUAGAUUUAUUGAACAUGAGUUGUUAAUUUGUUUCAACAAAUUGUGGGUUGUAAAAAUAUUUACGAGGAAAAAACCAACGGUAAAAUAGUGUAAUUUUAUUAUCUUAAACUAAAUAAAUUCUCAAAAUACCAUGGACCGAGAGGUUAAUGAAUAAGGAAGUAUUAAAUAAAAUAAAGAAAUAACAACAAAUAUGGAAAAGUAUUCAAUCAAGAAGAGACAAAAUAAUGGGACACAUAUUAAGGCAUGAAAGUUUAUUAAAGAAAAUAAUUGAAGGAGAUGUUGAAGGACACAUUGUAAGAGAAAGACACAGAGCAUAAUACAUGACACAGAUAAUGCAGUAAACGAAUAAGGAAUACUACAAAGACCUGAAAGAACUGUGCUACGAUAGAGAAACAUGGAGCAACAAACAAAUCUACGGAUUUAUAACAAAAAAAAUAAUAAAUUCUUGAUUUACCUUCCUACAUUUAAAAACAAUUCUAUUUAUUAUACAUGGAGUUAUAUUAUUAUAAAAACUAAUUAUAACAAAACUACCUGUAACAAUGUUUUGGUGUGAACUAUGAUAAGUGCUUGUGGUAAGGAAAAGGGUACAUAGGUACCUACCCUAGUGUUUAGAACAUGGUUUUAUUAAAAUAUUAACUGAUAAUAACCAGAGCUCCGUUGUUUAUGACUGCAUAUUUUUUCAUCAAAAUCACAAUUAUAUCUGAAUAUGAUAUAAACUUGAUUCAUGAUAUUUAGAUUUCAAAUAUGCAAACUUAUUUUUCAUAUAUUUGCAUAUUUGACAUUUUUGAGGACAUAAAUGUAUAAAUUGAAUUAUUUAUAGAUUUAGAAGCAUAUUUUAAAUAUAAUAUUAAACAUUUGUNAUAAGGAAUUUCGGUCAUAAACAUCUGAGUUUUAGUAAUAACCUUCUCUACCAACAUGAUAAUAAAAUCUAGAUUAUCCCAUUACUAUAAAUUAUUUUACCAUAAAAACAUUGUUCACAAUUAACAUAAUAUUUCAUUAUCAAAGUAUUAAUGUAGCUUAUAUUAUCAAUUUCAGAGGGAGUUUCUAAACUUAAAGAAAAAGCUAGAAGAAAAAAGGGACGUGGUUUUGAUGACAAAUCUAAAAGAAAUAUUAAAGAUGAACCCAUGGAAUAUGAAUCUGUUGAUCAAACUGAAGACGAUGGACCUGGCCCUCAAAGAUGUAAUAUUAUCAUUUAACACACUUUUAAUUAUUAUUAUUAUUAUUAUUGUUGUUUAUGUGUAUGUGUGUAUGUAUUAUAUUUUCCUCAUAGCUGUUGAAGGUUGGAUUUUGUUUAUAUCUUCUUUACACGAAGAAGCACAAGAAGAUGAUUUACAUGAUAAAUUUGCUGAAUUUGGAAAAAUUAAAAAUUUACAUUUAAACUUGGACCGUAGGACUGGAUUUUUAAAGG
rnacentral:lncRNA from 1 species